GCUAAUGAUCGUGUCUAUUGGUUUUUAUUUAUUAACUUGUAAGUCAUUAAAUGUGACAUAAAAGAGACUCGUAACAAUGCAAUUUCUUAUGAAUGUACAAGUAAAGGGAGUGCCAAUUUUAUACCAGAAGAAUUGCAGUCUCUUCGACAUUAUGAGUUUAUUUCAUUUGAAUAUAAGGAAAAUGCAGUUGCUCUGGCAGAAAUGCAUCCAAAAUGAGUAUUAAAACUCUGCAAAGGAAAGGCUGCAGCCAUUUAAAAAGUAAGAAAAUGCUGCGUGUAUGGAAAGAAGACAUGAUGCGAGGCAGAACAGUGAUAGAUAAAUGGAACUACAUCGAAACGCAGACCUUUCAAAACUUCCAAGAAGCUAGAGAGUGUCUUGAGCAGAUACAAUUUUAUAAAAUAUGCAUAUUACAGAAUUAGAGAUUUAUCGAAUAUACAUUAGCAUUUGUUUUCAGGUCAC
rnacentral:lncRNA from 1 species